AAAUAAAAACUCACUUCCACCAACGCCAGGAUAUUACGAGCUUUAGCUUAAAACCCAAAGGACUUGACGGUGUCCCAUCCAUCUAGAGGAGCCUGUUCCAUCAUCGAUAAUCCCCGCUACACCUAACCACCCCUUGCCAAUCAGUCUGUAUACCUCCGUCGUAAACUUACCAUGUGAGUGCUCACAGUAAGUUUAAUGGCCACCAUCACCAAUACGUCAGGUCAAGGUGCAGCUCAUGGGGCGGCAGGCAAUGGGCUACAAUUUCUACACUAGAACAAACGAAACGCUGCAUGAAAUACAGCCACGAAGGCGGAUUUAGUAGUAAAAAGAAAAUAGCGUGUUCUUUUUAACUAGGCCCUGGGACGUGU
rnacentral:rRNA from 1 species